AGAGAGAAGACCGCCGAUGGCCUCAUUUCUUCGGAAGAGGCACAGGUAAGGCUGAAAGGGUGCGGUAAGAGCGCACCGUGCGACUGGCAACAGUUCGUAGCAAGGUAAACUCCACCCGGAGCAAGAUCAAAUAGGCCCUCGCAUUGCGCUGCUCGCGUAUGGGGGCGGGUAGAUUGCUUGAGCCUGUGAGCGAUUGCAGGCCUAGACGAAUGGUUACCGCCGCGCAAGCGGAACAGAACCCGGCGUAUGUGUCAACUCCACCU
rnacentral:RNase_P_RNA from 1 species